rnacentral:rRNA from 1 species
AGAGUUUGAUCCUGGCUCAGGAUGAACGCUAGCUACAGGCUUAACACAUGCAAGUCGAGGGGAAACGGGCAUCGAAAGCUUGCUUUUGAUGGGCGUCGACCGGCGCACGGGUGAGUAACGCGUAUCCAACCUGCCCACCACUUGGGGAUAACCUUGCGAAAGUAAGACUAAUACCCAAUGACGUCUCUAGAAGACAUCUGAAGGAGAUUAAAGAUUUAUCGGUGAUGGAUGGGGAUGCGUCUGAUUAGCUUGUUGGCGGGGUAACGGCCACCGAAGGCGACGAUCAGUAGGGGUUCUGAGAGGAAGGUCCCCCACAUUGGAACUGGGGACACGGUCCAAACUCCUACGGGAGGCA